rnacentral:tRNA from 1 species
UCCCUGGAGGACUAGUGGUUAGGCCACAGUGCUCUCACUGCUGUGGGCUGGGUUCAAUUCCUGGCCAGGGAA